rnacentral:tRNA from 1 species
UAAAUUUUAAUUUAAUUAAAAAUUUAAUAAUUACAAUAUUAAUAUAUAUAUAUAUAUAUAUAAAUUUAUAAAUUUAU